rnacentral:rRNA from 1 species
AUUGAACGCUGGCGGCAGGCCUAACACAUGCAAGUCGAGCGGAUGAAGGGAGCUUGCUCCUGGAUUCAGCGGCGGACGGGUGAGUAAUGCCUAGGAAUCUGCCUGGUAGUGGGGGCUAACGUCCGGAAACGGGCGCUAAUACCGCAUACGUCCUGAGGGAGAAAGUGGGGGAUCUUCGGACCUCACGCUAUCAGAUGAGCCUAGGUCGGAUUAGCUAGUUGGUGGGGUAAAGGCCUACCAAGGCGACGAUCCGUAACUGGUCUGAGAGGAUGAUCAGUCACACUGGAACUGAGACACGGUCCAGACUCCUACGGGAGGCAGCAGUGGGGAAUAUUGGACAAUGGGCGAAAGCCUGAUCCAGCCAUGCCGCGUGUGUGAAGAAGGUCUUCGGAUUGUAAAGCACUUUAAGUUGGGAGGAAAGGCAGUAAGUUAAUACCUUGCUGUUUUGACGUUACCAACAGAAUAAGCACCGGCUAACUUCGUG